GGGGAGUGUAGUGUUGUGAACUCCAAGCAUCCAGAAAUCACAAGUCAGGACUUGAAAAUCAUGAGAUUGGCUUCAAAUCAUCUUUUAAAAAAAUAAGUACAUUUUGGGUUCUUUGCCUUCUCAUGUCUGAGCCUUUUGGCCGCACUCAGGUUAGAUUUUCAAGCUUCUCUCCACAACUACACGGUCAAGAAACUCUCUUUCAACAAAAGCUGCAGUUCUCCUGUAAUCCCAUGACUCUGGGAGCUGGUGCUUUAAGGCAAACCCCAAAUAUCAUGAGAAUUGUGAUAAAAUCACCUAAAACGGCAACCCAGACACAACAAUGAACAGCAGUUCCUAUCUACAGGCAGCCCUAGAAAUUGUCAGGACAAUGAUGGGUGUUGGAUCAUGAUGGAAACAAAAUCUGUUUGUUAAAUACCAGGCAGGGGGUGUGCCAGACCCUCCCCCCUCACCGUGACAGAUGGAAACCACAGCUGGGCAGCGGGCAGCAAUGCAAUGUAGGCUCCAUAGAAGUUUAAUCCACCUGGGGCCUCUUGUGGAGCAGCUGACCCCAGCAGAGGACUCUGGAUCUCAAGAGCUCAUCGCAUGACAUCCAAACUCAUUUGAGAUGCCGGCUGCUUAUUCUGCCUCCUUCCUAAACACGUCCCCCCUGGAUUUGAUAUUGGCUUGUACAGUCUGACUCUCACAUGUGCCACAUUCCUGGAGGCUCAGAGGGAGGAGAAAGAAGAGGAAGGUUUGAGGAGCAGCAGAAGCGAUAACCGAAAGGCCACACCCUCUUUACAAUCCAGCCUCCAACUGCUGUCCCAGGAAGUAAAACUGGCCCGUCUGGCUACAGGGACCGUGUCACAUGCCAGAGCCCCCUCUGGAGUGGAACACCUCAGCUGGUCAGCGUCCUGCAACGGUGGUCCUCGGAAGAAUCCCCCAAGCACUCCGGUACCAGAGUGAUGGGAACAGUAUAAAAACCGAGUGGGUGAAGAGGAGAUCACUGCCACUGGGAGAGCUGAUAGGGAAGCGUGGGGGGUGACCUCCCUGUGGUGGGGUGACACCUCCUGGGGGUACUGAGGGUUGCAAGGCCCCUCGCUACCACCUGCCGUUAACAUGAGGAAGCCGGGUCUGUGCCUGUCAGGUAUGGAAUAAGAUCCCUUCCCCCAAGAGGCCCCCCCUUCAGAGACUCAUCUUGGGGUUCUUCUGUCUUUGCAAAUCCUCCGGCCCGCCCCUGGCCCAGACAGCAAAGAGAGCUUGUCGUUGUCUCGCGGGCGUCCGUUGUUUGAUAUGCUGACUGAGUUAGCCCUGGGACAUGCAAUCUACAUAUACCCAGACAGAAAAGGAGACGUAUCUGUUCCCUCCUGCAUGGGAACCUGCUUUACCUCACAGACCUUAAGACCACAAUGUUGAGUAUAGAGACAUAGCUCCUUAAAUAUCAUCUGUACGUACAUUUUGCCUUCGUCAUGCCGUGCCGUGCAUUGCUGGCUGUGGGUAGAGACCUCACAUGCCACCCUCUGGCGCGCUAGAAUGUAGAUAUCAGACCCACAGGAUCCCUGUAACCCUAUGCAUGCCUGUGCCCUCUGCCAGCUGGUACCAAGGGGUCACAAGCCCUCCCCUCCCCCGGACCCCUGGCAGCCUUUUGGUGUAUGUGCGGCACCUUUUCAAGCGUAUUAUGCGAUUGACAAAAGGAAGAAUGCCGAGUCGCAACACCCGGAAUGGGGAACCGGGCCCAGCGCCACAGGACAGGAGCCACCACGGCUAGGAGGGUGCUGGGUGGACUUGGCUUUCCUGCCCAUUGCCAAUGACCCAUCGCCCUGCCUGGUGCAAAGCCUGGCUCUGCCCCAGGCAGGACACUGGCAUUGCCACCUCCGUUCCUGUGAAAAGGGUCGGGGGGUUUUAACAGCCACAAACUGGCAAGACCUGAGAACCCUCCUGUGAUGCGGCAUCCGAAGGAGCCGGGGGCUCAGCCCUGUCUCAGGCGAGAUGAGCGCUGCUGCCUGCUGAGCCCCCAAAAGCCCCUUGCAGAAGCGACCUGGGAUUUGGCCUGGCAGUCGCCCAGCCAGCCUAGCUCCCGGCCUCUGAACUGAGAUCAGCAGCGCUGCGUCUGCAUGGGCAGUCCCGUGGGGCAGUUAAGGUCCCCUGCUGCUUAUCUCAGAUUCUCUCCUGUGAGGUGCUGUGGGUAAGGGGAGAG